UCUCAGCAAGUUUGACAUCUCAGACCAUCCCGACCAUCCCGUCCAUCACAUGCUCAAUCAAACAUCAAGACAAAAGUAACUAAUAUUUUCAUUCAAUUCAUAUAAUCAUUUCCAACCAAAAUGCAAAAAGCACUUGUUGCUGAAGAUUUCAGGUCAUAAAAAGCUUCACAUUUGCUUGAAUUUUGCAAUUAUAUUAACAUGGUCAUGGUUAGAGGGCCAAGGCCAUGUUCAUAAAUUUUGGGAUCC
rnacentral:lncRNA from 1 species